GAUGAAGAACGCAGCGAAAUGCGAUAAGUAGUGUGAAUUGCAGAAUUCAGUGAAUCAUCGAAUCUUUGAACGCACAUUGCGCCCCUUGGUACUCCAUGGGGCAUGCCUGUUCGAGCGUCAUUUGUACCCUCAAGCUUUGCUUGGUGUUGGGCGUCUUGUCGUAUUACGACUCGCCUUAAAUACAUUGGCAGCCGGCACUUUGGCCUAGGAGCGCAGCACAUUUUGCGAUCGUAGCCCGUUGUACUGGCGUCCAUCAAGAACAUUUACCACGUUUGACCUCGGAUCAGGUAGGGAUACCCGCUGAACUUAAGCAUAUCAAUAAGCGGAGGA
rnacentral:misc_RNA from 1 species